AGCGAACGCUGGCGGCAGGCUUAACACAUGCAAGUCGAGCGGGCAUCUUCGGAUGUCAGCGGCAGACGGGUGAGUAACACGUGGGAACGUACCCUUCGGUUCGGAACAACUCUGGGAAACUGGAGCUAAUACCGGAUACGCCCUUAUGGGGAAAGGUUUACUGCCGAAGGAUCGGCCCGCGUCUGAUUAGCUAGUUGGUGGGGUAACGGCCUACCAAGGCGACGAUCAGUAGCUGGUCUGAGAGGAUGAUCAGCCACACUGGGACUGAGACACGGCCCAGACUCCUACGGGAGGCAGCAGUGGGGAAUAUUGGACAAUGGGCGCAAGCCUGAUCCAGCCAUGCCGCGUGAGUGAUGAAGGCCUUAGGGUUGUAAAGCUCUUUUGUCCGGGACGAUAAUGACGGUACCGGAAGAAUAAACCCCGGCUAACUUCGUG
rnacentral:rRNA from 1 species